UUGACAACUCGUACGGUCUAGACAAAAUGGCGGCGCACGUCUAGUGGUUGAGUUUGUUUUUCCUCUUUCUCUCCGGCUGGAGAAAACGUAACCCUAACCCUUGCCGAGUUUGUGGAUUAACAAACACAUUAUUAUAAACACUUCAACACAACAUUAGUCAUGUGGUCGAACAUCGCUCUAAGGACCGUUUUAAGGUCUUCCUUGGGCGUUUUGAGGGAAAGCGCCGGCACUUCAGGGACGUGCUGCUCGGCGCUGCUGUCGAGAAACAAAGUAAACAGCGUGUUAGGAGUUUUUUCCCCUCCAGCACCAGUCCGACAUUAUGCUCGCGCUACAAAGAAAAAGGUUGCAGGUCUUGAGAGCCAACUCAGCGACCUCCCGCCGACCAUGCUGAAGAUGGAUUACGCCGCCGUACCCCUCGCAGAAACGACGGACGAUAUUGUCAAGAGACUUCUUUCGUUGGAGUUAGCCAGCCAGAGUGAAAAGUUGGCAUUGAAAAAGGAACAGCUGAUUGCCAAGGUGCAGCGGGAUGAGAGCGACCGCAGCUCAGUGGAAGUUCAGGUGGCCAUUUUGACGGCGAGGAUCCGCAACUUUCAGGAGCACUUGCUCAAACAUCACAAGGACAAGGCGAACAAGAGACGCAUGCUGAUGGCCAUGGAUAGAAGAAAGAAGUUGCUGAAGAACCUGCGGCUGGAGCGCUACGAUGCCUUCGAGAAGGUGUGCGAGCAGCUGGGCAUCACCUAUACCUUCCCGCCUGAGUACUACAGGAGGGCAACGCGACGCUGGCUGGCCAAGAAGGCCUUCUGCAUCAAGCAUUAUUAUUACAGGCGGCGCAGUGGACGACUGGCUAGCACAUCCGCCUCACAGUUCUGAGGAUCCGGGUUCAAAUCCAGCCACACUUGUGUGGAGUUUGCAUGUUCUCCUUGUGCCUGCGUGGGUUUUCUCCGGGUACUCCAGUUUCCUCCCACAUCCCAAAAACAUACAUGGUCUUCAAGGAGGUGCAGAAGCAGAAAGCAGAGCAGAAACUGAAAUUAGCGGCUAAAAUGGAAACUGCCAGCCAGUAGAUGCCAUCAUUCGCUGGUAAAAGACAGCAUUUUUGGUGUGUUUUUUUCUCCAUGUCACCGGUCUAUAUAAUGCAGAGGCCAGUUGCGGCCCGUGAUUCAUUUGAAAUAGCUUUUCAGUAAUAUUGCACCUCUGUGUAAAAGGCACGAGCAGAUCAAUGCUGAAUCCACAGUACUGACUAUAAUAUGGCAAUUAUUCAGGAUUUCUGUGAGAGACUAAUGAGGCUCGAAACAUCAAUGCUAAAUGUACAUCCAUUUUGUAUACUAGUCAUUUAAUGAAAAUAAACACAGUAAUGAGGUUAAAAUA